rnacentral:rRNA from 1 species
GACGAACGCUGGCGGCGCGCUUAACACAUGCAAGUCGAACGGAAAGGCCUGCUUUCCCUUGUGGAUUGCGGGUACUCGAGUGGCGAACGGGUGAGUAACACGUGAGUGAUCUGCCCCCAACUUGGGUAUAAGCCUGGGAAACUGGGUCUAAUUCCCGAUAGGACUGCAGGGUGGUGCCUGUGGUGGAAAACGAUUUUCUAGUGGUUGGGGAUGAGCUCGCGGCCUAUCAGCUUGUUGGUGGGGUAAUGGCCUACCAAGGCGGCGACGGGUAGCCGGCCGGAGAGGGUGGACGGCGACAUUGGGACUGGGAUACGGCCCAGACUGCUACGGGAGGCAGCAGAGGGGAAUAUUACAGAAUGGGCGGAAGCCUGAUGCAGCGACGCCGCGUGGGGGAUGACGGCCUUCGGGUUGUAAACUCCUUUCGACCGCGAGGAAGCCACCUGGUUGGAAGGGUGGUGACGGUAGUGGUAGAAGAAGCACCGGCUAACUACGUG